ACGCAGUAGCAAUACUGAGUGGCAGACGGGUGAGUAACAUGUGGGAAUCUGCCUUGUGGUUCAGGACAACAUUGGGAAACCGAUGCUAAUACUGGAUAAGCCCUUACGGGGAAAGUUUUAAUGCCAUAAGAUGAGCCCGCAUUUGAUUAGUUAGUUGGUGAGGUAAUGGCUCACCAAGACAAUGAUCAAUAGCUGAUCUGAGAGGAUGAUCAGCCACACUGGGACUGAGACACGGCCCAGACUCCUACGGGAGGCAGCAGUGGGGAAUCUUGCACAAUGGAGGAAACUCUGAUGCAGCGAUGCCGCGUGAGUGAAGAAGGCCUUUGGGUUGUAAAGCUCUUUUGUAGGGGAAGAUAAUGACUGUACCCUAAGAAUAAGGUCCGGCUAACUUCGUGCCAGCAGCCGCGGUAAUACGAAGGGACCUAGCGUAGUUCGGAAUUACUGGGCGUAAAGCGCGCGUAGGCCGUUGAGUUAGUUAAUUGUGAAAUCCCAAAGCUUAACUUUGGAACUGCAAUUAAAACUGCUCGACUAGAGUUUGAUAGAGGAAAGCGGAAUACAUAGUGUAGAGGUGAAAUUCGUAGAUAUUAUGUAGAACACCAGUUGCGAAGGCGGCUUUCUGGAUCAACACUGA
rnacentral:rRNA from 1 species